UCUCAGUUAACCAUCAGCAGACAAUCUGGAAAUUAAUCCUCAAAAAGGGAGCGGCGACAAAUGGGUUUUAUAAUGAGGACUUGAAGCCAGGCAGAGCAGAGGGCAGGCACGGCAGAGGUAAAGCAAAGGACCGCAAGUUUUACAGCAGGUGCUGUCCUUGCUUCCAUCCACUGAACCAGGAGAGGAGGCCGUGGUACAGCCAGCAAGCCCAACUAUGUCAGCAUCCCUGAGAAACUGUCUAAGGAGAUCUCAGAAGAAAGGGAUUGGCAACUCGAAGACUCUAGAGUCUGUCCCAUCUAUGAACUAUGAAAGGUAGAGAGAAGACAAUUUUUUCCUCCCCUACAGAUACAAUACUGUCCGCUUCCAAGGGGGACUUAUUGGCAUUAUUGUCAGUUACCUACAAGAGAGUUUUGAAAGAGCUCAUUAAAGACAAUGAAAAGGACAGACCCCAGUGGUACCACUUCCAAGCUGUGCAGUGCUGGACAAUAUAGUAAACUGUGAUCUGGGCAAUAUGAAUAGAAACUGUGCUGAUAAAUUUGUGAAGAUUCAAUCAGUGAAUGCCUGUGAAAUGCUCAGCACCAGGUAGGUCUGGAGUUCAGUGCAUGCUUGCUUGGUAGUGGUUGCUGAUGUUCCACUCUACUGUCACCAUGCUGGGUAUUUUCCAUCAUCUCACUCUAUUCUCUGCCAUUCUCCACCAUGCUCUGUGGCUCAGGAGGCACCUUUCCUGCGGUUUCUGGUUGGGUUUUACCAGUUCAUUCUCCCCCUCUGCAAUUGCCUGGGACUGGUGGCAUCCCUCAAAGGUCACAGCUCCUCCUGGGAAGCCCAUGCCACCUCCAGGUCCCUAUAACUAUCCUUUUCUGUCCCUUGAAGGCCUCGGGGUGAUAAUAGCUCUCUAUUACGAGCCCUGGGUUUUUGCAUCUCCACUAUGGUGUCCCAUACCCUGCCCACCUUUACUAAACACACCUCCAAUUACCCACACUGAGAGCACCAUCUAUGUCCUGGCAGGACCUUGACUGGGGCAGCCACCAGCUUUUUUUUUUUUUUGAGAUGGGGUCUAGCUCUGUGGCCCAGGCUGGAGUGCAGUGGUGUGAUCUUGGCUCACUGCAAACUUUGCCUCCUGGGUUCAAGUGAUUCUCCUGCCUCAGCCUCCCAAGAAGCUAGUCAGCAGCAUUUUGAACACUGCACUGUGUCCAUUUCUGUUCCUUAAGUGAGUGAUGCCGAUACUCCUCUUGAGUCUCAUGAAAUCCGAAAGCUGGAUCCUUUGCUCCUGUUUUAUCUUAGAUGUAACUUCUCCGCAAUGCUUGCAACACAGGUAGGGAAUGCCACCAAAGUCCCACACCAGAAGGGAGCAUUCCUUUUUGUGACUGAUCCCAAACACACAUACGAGAAAAAGAAGAGUGAAGAGAUGAAGGGUCCAUACAAAGAUGAGUUUAUGUAAACAGACUUUACUAAAAUAAUCCUUAUCUUCCAUUAGUUCCCCCAUAUGCAUUCUAGUUACUGCCCCAUAAUUUGUGAUCCCUGGAAACCAAAUCCUCUUGUCUUUGUUAAAAGGGUAUAUAGGCCCUCAAGUCUAACUGGUUGAGUUUCAUUUCUUUUCUGUAAACUCACAUGCAGAUAAAUAUGAGUAAAAUUGUGUGCUUUUUCUUCUGUCAAUUUGUCUUUUUGUCAUUUUAAUUCACAGGCCCCCAGUUAUAUCACCUAAGAGGGUAGGGGAAAAGAUUUUCCUCUCCAAUACCAGUGUCCCUGCUUCAUCUCAAAGAAAAGAUGAUGGGCUUUA